GACGAACGCUGGCGGCGUGCUUAACACAUGCAAGUCGAACGGUGAAGCGCCUUCCUUUUUGGUGGGUGUGGAUGAGUGGCGAACGGGUGAGUAACACGUGAGUAACCUGCCCCCUUCUUCUGGAUAACCGCAUGAAAGUGUGGCUAAUACGGGAUAUUCUGGGUCUGUCGCAUGAUGGGUCUGGGAAAGAUAUUGUUUCGGUGGGGGAUGGGCUCGCGGCCUAUCAGCUUGUUGGUGGGGUGAUGGCCUACCAAGGCGGUGACGGGUAGCCGGCCUGAGAGGGUGGACGGUCACACUGGGACUGAGACACGGACCAGACUCCUACGGGAGGCAGCAGUGGGGAAUAUUGCACGAUGGGCGCAAGCCUGAUGCAGCGACGCCGCGUGAGGGAUGGAGGCCUGCGGGUUGUGAACCUCUUUCGCCAGUGAAGCAGGCCUGCCUCGUUUGUGGGUGGGUUGACGGUAGCUGGAUAAGAAGCGCCGGCUAACUACGUG
rnacentral:rRNA from 1 species